rnacentral:rRNA from 1 species
AAUCAACGCUGGCGGCGUGCCUCAGACAUGCAAGUCGAACGAUUAAGACUCUCUUCGGAGAGUGCAUAAAGUGGCGCACGGGUGAGUAACACGUAAGUAAUCUACCCUCGAGUGGGGAAUAACGUCCGGAAACGGACGCUAAUACCGCAUAAUGCAGCGGCACCGCAAGGUGACAGUUGUUAAAGAUUUAUCGCUUGGGGAGGAGCUUGCGGCAGAUUAGCUAGUGGUAAGGUAAUGGCUUACCGAGGCUACGAUCUGUAACCGGUCUAAGAGGACGGUCGGUCACACUGACACUGAAUAACGGGUCAGACUCCUACGGGAGGCAGCAGUCGGGAAUUUUGGGCAAUGGGCGAAAGCCUGACCCAGCAACGCCGCGUGAAGGAUGAAGUAUUUCGGUAUGUAAACUUCGAAAGAAUGGGAAGAACUAAUGACGGUACCAUUUAUAAGGUCCGGCUAACUACGUGCCAGCAGCCGCAGUAAAACCUGA